rnacentral:rRNA from 1 species
AUUGAACGCUGGCGGCAGGCUUAACACAUGCAAGUCGAACGAUGACUCUCUAGCUUGCUAGAGAAGAUUAGUGGCGGACGGGUGAGUAACAUUUAGGAAUCUGCCUAGUAGUGGGGGAUAGCUCGGGGAAACUCGAAUUAAUACCGCAUACGACCUACGGGUGAAAGGGGGCGCAAGCUCUUGCUAUUAGAUGAGCCUAAAUCAGAUUAGCUAGUUGGUGGGGUAAAGGCCCACCAAGGCGACGAUCUGUAACUGGUCUGAGAGGAUGAUCAGUCACACCGGAACUGAGACACGGUCCGGACUCCUACGGGAGGCAGCAGUGGGGAAUAUUGGACAAUGGGGGCAACCCUGAUCCAGCCAUGCCGCGUGUGUGAAGAAGGCCUUUUGGUUGUAAAGCACUUUAAGCAGGGAGGAGAGGCUAAUGGUUAAUACCCAUUAGAUUAGACGUUACCUGCAGAAUAAGCACCGGCUAACUCUGUGCCAGCAGCCGCAGUAAUAC